rnacentral:rRNA from 1 species
UACAGAGGUCCCGAGCGUUAGGCGGAAUCACUGGGCUUAAAGCGUGUGUAGGCGGAUCGUUAAGUACCUUGUGAAAUCCCACGGCUUAACCGUGGAACUGCUUGGUAUACUAGCGGUCUUGAGCCACUUAGGGGCUACCGGAACAAAUGGUGGAGCGGUGAAAUGCGUAGAUAUCAUUUGGAACGCCAAUGGUGAAAACAGGUAGCUGGGAGUGUGCUGACGCUGAGACACGAAAGCCAGGGGAGCAAACGGG